UUAGGGUUAAACUCAGUGGUAGAGCACUUGCCUAGCAAGUAUGAAGUCUUGGUUUGAUUCCAGUAACAUGAAA
rnacentral:tRNA from 1 species